AUUGAACGCUGGCGGCAUGCCUUACACAUGCAAGUCGAACGGCAGCACGGGGCAACCUGGUGGCGAGUGGCGAACGGGUGAGUAAUGCAUCGGAACGUACCUUUCAGUGGGGGAUAACGUAGCGAAAGUUACGCUAAUACCGCAUAUUCUGUGAGCAGGAAAGCAGGGGAUCGCAAGACCUUGUGCUGAUUGAGCGGCCGAUGUCAGAUUAGCUAGUUGGUGAGGUAAAGGCUCACCAAGGCGACGAUCUGUAGCGGGUCUGAGAGGAUGAUCCGCCACACUGGGACUGAGACACGGUCCAGACUCCUACGGGAGGCAGCAGUGGGGAAUUUUGGACAAUGGGGGCAACCCUGAUCCAGCCAUGCCGCGUGAGUGAAGAAGGCCUUCGGGUUGUAAAGCUCUUUCGGCCGGGAAGAAAUCGCACGGGCUAAUACCCUGUGUGGAUGACGGUACCGGAAUAAGAAGCACCGGCUAACUACGUGCCAGCCGCCGCAGUAACAC
rnacentral:rRNA from 1 species